GGGUUGUGAGGUUAAGCGACUAAGCGUACACGGUGGAUGCCCUGGCAGUCAGAGGCGAUGAAGGACGUGCUAAUCUGCGAUAAGCGUCGGUAAGGUGAUAUGAACCGUUAUAACCGGCGAUUUCCGAAUGGGGAAACCCAGUGUGUUUCGACACACUAUCAUUAACUGAAUCCAUAGGUUAAUGAGGCGAACCGGGGGAACUGAAACAUCUAAGUACCCCGAGGAAAAGAAAUCAACCGAGAUUCCCCCAGUAGCGGCGAGCGAACGGGGAGCAGCCCAGAGCCUGAAUCAGUGUGUGUGUUAGUGGAAGCGUCUGGAAAGGCGCGCGAUACAGGGUGACAGCCCCGUACACAAAAAUGCACAUAUUGUGAGCUCGAUGAGUAGGGCGGGACACGUGGUAUCCUGUCUGAAUAUGGGGGGACCAUCCUCCAAGGCUAAAUACUCCUGACUGACCGAUAGUGAACCAGUACCGUGAGGGAAAGGCGAAAAGAACCCCGGCGAGGGGAGUGAAAAAGAACCUGAAACCGUGUACGUACAAGCAGUGGGAGCCUCUUUUAUGGGGUGACUGCGUACCUUUUGUAUAAUGGGUCAGCGACUUAUAUUCUGUAGCAAGGUUAACCGAAUAGGGGAGCCGAAGGGAAACCGAGUCUUAACUGGGCGUUAAGUUGCAGGGUAUAGACCCGAAACCCGGUGAUCUAGCCAUGGGCAGGUUGAAGGUUGGGUAACACUAACUGGAGGACCGAACCGACUAAUGUUGAAAAAUUAGCGGAUGACUUGUGGCUGGGGGUGAAAGGCCAAUCAAACCGGGAGAUAGCUGGUUCUCCCCGAAAGCUAUUUAGGUAGCGCCUCGUGAAUUCAUCUCCGGGGGUAGAGCACUGUUUCGGCAAGGGGGUCAUCCCGACUUACCAACCCGAUGCAAACUGCGAAUACCGGAGAAUGUUAUCACGGGAGACACACGGCGGGUGCUAACGUCCGUCGUGAAGAGGGAAACAACCCAGACCGCCAGCUAAGGUCCCAAAGUCAUGGUUAAGUGGGAAACGAUGUGGGAAGGCCCAGACAGCCAGGAUGUUGGCUUAGAAGCAGCCAUCAUUUAAAGAAAGCGUAAUAGCUCACUGGUCGAGUCGGCCUGCGCGGAAGAUGUAACGGGGCUAAACCAUGCACCGAAGCUGCGGCAGCGACGCUUAUGCGUUGUUGGGUAGGGGAGCGUUCUGUAAGCCUGUGAAGGUGUGCUGUGAGGCAUGCUGGAGGUAUCAGAAGUGCGAAUGCUGACAUAAGUAACGAUAAAGCGGGUGAAAAGCCCGCUCGCCGGAAGACCAAGGGUUCCUGUCCAACGUUAAUCGGGGCAGGGUGAGUCGACCCCUAAGGCGAGGCCGAAAGGCGUAGUCGAUGGGAAACAGGUUAAUAUUCCUGUACUUGGUGUUACUGCGAAGGGGGGACGGAGAAGGCUAUGUUGGCCGGGCGACGGUUGUCCCGGUUUAAGCGUGUAGGCUGGUUUUCCAGGUAAAUCCGGAAAAUCAAGGCUGAGGCGUGAUGACGAGGCACUACGGUGCUGAAGCAACAAAUGCCCUGCUUCCAGGAAAAGCCUCUAAGCAUCAGGUAACAUCAAAUCGUACCCCAAACCGACACAGGUGGUCAGGUAGAGAAUACCAAGGCGCUUGAGAGAACUCGGGUGAAGGAACUAGGCAAAAUGGUGCCGUAACUUCGGGAGAAGGCACGCUGAUAUGUAGGUGAAGUCCCUCGCGGAUGGAGCUGAAAUCAGUCGAAGAUACCAGCUGGCUGCAACUGUUUAUUAAAAACACAGCACUGUGCAAACACGAAAGUGGACGUAUACGGUGUGACGCCUGCCCGGUGCCGGAAGGUUAAUUGAUGGGGUCAGCGCAAGCGAAGCUCUUGAUCGAAGCCCCGGUAAACGGCGGCCGUAACUAUAACGGUCCUAAGGUAGCGAAAUUCCUUGUCGGGUAAGUUCCGACCUGCACGAAUGGCGUAAUGAUGGCCAGGCUGUCUCCACCCGAGACUCAGUGAAAUUGAACUCGCUGUGAAGAUGCAGUGUACCCGCGGCAAGACGGAAAGACCCCGUGAACCUUUACUAUAGCUUGACACUGAACAUUGAGCCUUGAUGUGUAGGAUAGGUGGGAGGCUUAGAAGUGUGGACGCCAGUCUGCAUGGAGCCGACCUUGAAAUACCACCCUUUAAUGUUUGAUGUUCUAACGUGGACCCGUAAUCCGGGUUGCGGACAGUGUCUGGUGGGUAGUUUGACUGGGGCGGUCUCCUCCUAAAGAGUAACGGAGGAGCACGAAGGUUGGCUAAUCCUGGUCGGACAUCAGGAGGUUAGUGCAAUGGCAUAAGCCAGCUUGACUGCGAGCGUGACGGCGCGAGCAGGUGCGAAAGCAGGUCAUAGUGAUCCGGUGGUUCUGAAUGGAAGGGCCAUCGCUCAACGGAUAAAAGGUACUCCGGGGAUAACAGGCUGAUACCGCCCAAGAGUUCAUAUCGACGGCGGUGUUUGGCACCUCGAUGUCGGCUCAUCACAUCCUGGGGCUGAAGUAGGUCCCAAGGGUAUGGCUGUUCGCCAUUUAAAGUGGUACGCGAGCUGGGUUUAGAACGUCGUGAGACAGUUCGGUCCCUAUCUGCCGUGGGCGCUGGAGAACUGAGGGGGGCUGCUCCUAGUACGAGAGGACCGGAGUGGACGCAUCACUGGUGUUCGGGUUGUCAUGCCAAUGGCACUGCCCGGUAGCUAAAUGCGGAAGAGAUAAGUGCUGAAAGCAUCUAAGCACGAAACUUGCCCCGAGAUGAGUUCUCCCUGACCCUUUAAGGGUCCUGAAGGAACGUUGAAGACGACGACGUUGAUAGGCCGGGUGUGUAAGCGCAGCGAUGCGUUGAGCUAACCGGUACUAAUGAACCGUGAGGCUUAACCUUACAACGCCGAAG
rnacentral:rRNA from 1 species